AGCCAUUUCUUAAUCACUGUUAUCACACUUCAGCCAGGAUAUUUUCUGUUGAAUGGAAGGAUUUUAUUAUCUUCAUGGUGGCUCAUCUCGGCAAGCAUUCAAUUUCUCUGAGCUGCUUCAGAAUAUCCACAGAACAAACUUGGGCUUCAUCAAAGCUGUUUCCAGGAAAACUCAGAAAAAACAAAUGUGGAGGAGCUCACCCUACCACCAAUCUAUCCAUGAACAUCCAACACUCUUCCACCCAGUCCCAGCCUGCCUGAAUAUCUUCUGGCAACAAUUAAGAGGAAGGACUCCCCCCCCCCCGGGAUGUCCCUCCAUGACAGGUCAGCAUGCAAUGGUUCACUCUCAUCACCUGCUACCUUGUAUGCCUUCUGCAGGCAGAAAGGGACCGCACCCAGUUUUCCUAAUUUCUGUUCAGUGAGGACAUCAGAGACCAGUAAGAUUUGCUGAUUAAAACAACAACAAAUACUGAUGUUUACUGAUAUUUUACUGAUAAAAAUGUUCUGGUCUGCAAUA